UUAUCAACAAUGUACACACUUUUCAUCUUCCAUCGAUAACCUAAUUCUUUUACAAACGGAUGAGUUGCAGACGAUUUGUGUUUCCUAUCUCAUUUAUCUGUGCCAACGAACGUUAACGCUUCGUCUCCAUUCUUAGGGUAGAUUAUAAAAUCAGGUCCUUGGUUAAUCCACCACCAACAACAACGUUUCAGUGUUUCACAAAGCGUUUUAAAGACAGGCAGUCAUGGAUUCUGCAGCUGUACUUCUCGCUAUCCAGCCGCUUAAUUUCAAGAUUUUUGAUGAGCUUAUGGGACUUUUGCAAAGAAGGCCUAUUCACCUUAGGGAAGCUCCAAAUUGUUGGAGUGGAACAUCUUUCAGUUUCUGAGAGAAACAGGUGCAAAUAAGAUGAAACGAACAAGAGG